GAUCCUGGCUCAGGAUGAACGCUAGCUACAGGCUUAACACAUGCAAGUCGAGGGGCAGCAUGGUCUUAGCUUGCUAAGGCCGAUGGCGACCGGCGCACGGGUGAGUAACGCGUAUCCAACCUGCCUUACACUCUUGGACAGCCUUCUGAAAAGGGGNGAUUAAUACAAGAUGUUAUCAUGAGUAAGCAUUUUCGCAUGAUUAAAGGUUUACCGGUGUAAGAUGGGGAUGCGUUCCA
rnacentral:rRNA from 1 species